AUGGCCACGCUCUCACCUGGGCAGCGGCAGCAGCCGGGCGUGGACCGCCUCAGUGCGCUGCCCGACGAACUCCUUGUGACCAUCCUGGAUGGCCUAGACACCCGCUCCGCGCUCGCCACCACCGUCCUAGCCAAGCGCUGGACGCACCUCCCUCGCCUUCUCAGCGCACUCGAGUUUAGG
rnacentral:rRNA from 1 species